UACGUAGGGUGCGAGCGUUGUCCGGAAUUAUUGGGCGUAAAGGGCUCGUAGGCGGUCUGUCGCGUCGAAAGUGAAAACUCAGGGCUUAACCCUGAGCCUGCUUCCGAUACGGGCAGACUAGAGGUAUGCAGGGGAGAACGGAAUUCCUGGUGUAGCGGUGAAAUGCGCAGAUAUCAGGAGGAACACCGGUGGCGAAGGCGGUUCUCUGGACAUUACCUGACGCUGAGGAGCGAAAGUAUGGGGAGCGAACAGG
rnacentral:rRNA from 1 species